rnacentral:lncRNA from 1 species
CACAGUGACAGUUGGGCGUCCACACCGCCUUCGCUGCGCACAGGACACAGAGUGACUGACCCUACGGGGCCCGAGCUGUCUUGCUGGUGUCCCCGGCAUUCGUCGGGUGAGGGACCUGCCUUGGGGCUCCACACACUGGGCUUCCCGGAGAAUCAGGCUCCCCGUCAGGCGGGGACUCACUGGCCUCCCUGACCCGAGGCGGCCGAGCCCCUUGGUGGCGCAGAGCCCGGUUCCGCGUCCGUCGUGCGGCCACACCGCGGACCGUCGGUGGCUCACAGCAGCCGUCUGUGCUGCUCAGCCCGGCACCGCGCGGGGCGCCCGGCCAGCACGGAGGGCAGCGGGUCAUCCGCCCCGUGAGGGACCAGGACACACCGGGCUACCUGAGUGUCCACCUCAGACCUGGACGACAAGACCAGAGGGCAAGGAGGCUGGGGAGCUGUGGCCUCACAGAGCUCACCUGCAAAAGCCUUGCCUCCUGUCUCAGGCGCAGUGAGAGGCCCACCCACCUGAGCUUGGCAGAAAACGCCUUGAAAGACGAAGGGGCCAGGCAUAUUCGGAACACCUUAGAACACUUGACGUGUCCUCUGCGGAGGCUGGUGUAAGUCCCAAGGUAUUUUCUUCUUGGAACUCACUGAAGCAGAGCAGGGGGAUUGAGAGAACCUGUCAUGCAUUCAUUUAUUAAGUGCCUGCUGCACGCUGGGCACUGUGCUGAUGUGGGGGUAGGGGCGGAGCAUAAUAAAGAGGAGGGCUGCUAUCACUUCCAUCCAGAGGCAGAUUAUCCACUGUCAGAGUCCUCCGCUGUGUGCCAGUGCCCCAGAGUGAGCUCACAGAGGGGCUGCAGGGCGAUUUCAAUUUAGGGAAUACUGACAUCUGUUCAUCACUGCAAGAACUUCUAGCUCGAGGUCAUUCGUUACAGCGUGAGAUUGUGGGCUAAUUCCUUUUAUAUGACAUCAUGUGUUUGCAAAGCUAGGUUUGCAGCCAUUGCUGUCAUGGGAGCAAGUGCAUCACGAUAUUUAAUGAGGAGCAAAGAUGAUGUAAAGAAAAGAAAAGUACUGAGAUGCUAAGAAGGGUGUGAACCGAGAAAGUCUGGAGACCUCUGAUGGAAUGUGCUCCCUGCCUCCUGGACAUCCGAGUGAGCGCCACG